AACGAACGCUGGCGGCAUGCCUAACACAUGCAAGUCGAACGAGACCUUCGGGUCUAGUGGCGCACGGGUGCGUAACGCGUGGGAACCUGCCCUUAGGUUCGGAAUAACUCCCCGAAAGGGGUGCUAAUACCGGAUAAUGUCUUCGGACCAAAGAUUUAUCGCCUUUGGAUGGGCCCGCGUUGGAUUAGCUAGUUGGUAGGGUAAAAGCCUACCAAGGCGACGAUCCAUAGCUGGUCUGAGAGGAUGAUCAGCCACACUGGGACUGAGACACGGCCCAGACACCGACGGGAGGGAGCAGUGGGGAAUAUUGGACAAUGGGCGAAAGCCUGAUAAAGAAAUGCGGCGGGAGAGAGGAAGGGGGUAGGGUUGUAAAGCUCUUUGACACGGGAUGAGAAUGACAGUACCGGGAGAAUAAGCUCCGGCUAACUCCGUG
rnacentral:rRNA from 1 species